rnacentral:rRNA from 1 species
GUGUCAGCAGCCGCGGUAAGACGAACCGUCCAAACGUUAUUCGGAAUUACUGGGCUUAAAGGGUGCGUAGGCUGCGCUGUUAGUCAGGUGUGAAAUCCCUCAGCUUAACUGAGGAAUUGCGCUCGAUACUGCAGUGCUGGAGGGAGACAGGGGUAAGCGGAACUGAUGGUGGAGCGGUGAAAUGCGUUGAUAUCAUCAGGAACACCGGUGGCGAAAGCGGCUUACUGGGUCUCUUCUGACGCUGAGGCACGAAAGCUAGGGGAGCGAACGGGAUUAGAUACCCCGGUAGUCC